CUGGAGACCGGAAGUAGGAGUCGGUGAUGGGCAGUUCGUGCGUCCUUUUACGAUCGACAAGGACACAAGAUCUUGAAAAAUGACGCCGGAUUACCACAGGCUUCAUCAGCUGGUGAUUUGAACUGCAGCUGCUCUUCCAGAGAUGAUCUCCUGGCAUCUGAGAGAGGAAGGGAAAGGGAAAGAGAGAUAAACAUCAAUGAGAGAGAAACAUCCAUUGACUACCUCCUGCACGCCCCCCCACCAGGGAUCAAGCCAGCAACCCAAGCAUGUGCCCUGAUCUGAAAUCGACCUCCUGGUGCAUGGAACGACGCUCAACCAACUAAGCCAUGCCAGCAAGGCUAUAUUUUCAAAAUAACACAAAAUAAAUUGAA